GGGGAUGACAUGGUUUCGACGGGGGUAAUGAACCCCGGGCAGCGAGUAGUGCCGAGCAUCACUUUAAAAAGCUCAAACUUUAAAUAUAAACGCUAACGAUUACGAUUUAGCUUACGCUGCCUAAUUGCAGCGUUGUCUCCUCCGGAAUUACCGCGUUCCGGACUGAGGCAUCAUUUAAGCGGUGAACGUGAGCAGAGGUUUGUUUCGCCCUCUGCCAUGAAACAGAAGCUACCGAUGCCGCAGCUUUGGCUGUAAAGCGGCGGCAAAGGGAAUGUAAGUUACAGCCUGCACUCGGAGAAGCCCGGGCGGACUUAUUUUCGGACACGAGUUCGAUUCUCGUCAUCUCCACCA
rnacentral:tmRNA from 1 species